UAAUACAGAGGUGGCAAACGUUGUUCGGAAUUACUGGGCGUAAAGCGUACGUAGGCGGUUAAGUCAGUCAGAUGUGAAAGCCCCGGGCUCAACCUGGGAACUGCAUUUGAUACUGCUUAGCUAGAAUAUGGUAGAGGGAAGUGGAAUUCCGGGUGUAGCGGUGAAAUGCGUAGAUAUCCGGAGGAACACCAGUGGCGAAGGCGGCUUCCUGGACCAAUAUUGACGCUGAGGUACGAAAGUGUGGGUAGCAAACAGGAUUAGAUACCCUGGUAGUCCACGCCGUAAACGAUGUCAACUAGCCGUUGGGCUCAUUAUAAGGGUUUAGUGGCGCAGCUAACGCGAUAAGUUGACCGCCUGGGGAGUACGGUCGCAAGAUUA
rnacentral:rRNA from 1 species